AGUUUUCUUUGCAGACUGGCUUUUUUGACAGUCUUUGCAGUCUAGAUUAGGCAGUUUGAGAGUAAUUCUCAGCUUUUAUUGCUUACUCUGGCAGGAAGGGGCCUAGUGAAUCUGGUCAGUUUCCGCAACUUCCUGAAGCCACUUUGAGUUACGAUUCCCUUGAGGUGGGAAUGUUUCAAUCUGGAAGGAAACUGUUACACAACACAGACCCAGUGGCCCUGAAAUUGCAGCAGUCCUCUGUCUCUGCACCCAAGGGUCAAGAUUACAGGUUGGAAAAAUUCCCACACUGGUCCCUGGCCUGUGGAGUGAAGUAAGGGCUAUUAUGGUUGGAAAGACCGGAAGCCAUCUGAGUUUCCUCUACUAAGGAAAAGAGUGAACCAAAGAAUAUAUUAAACCUGGAGGAAUCGUCGAAAUGAGUGCUACAUGAAAGACUUGAAAGCUGCAGGGAUGGUGGUUCCCAGCACAUGCCCCUUCUUCUGUCUGAUUGGCCUGUGCAGGAUAUAAAUCGGUUGUGGUGUAGCAGAUCAUCCCAAACAUAGGCAGCAACUCUAAGUGUAGCUGCUGCUAGCAGAUGUGGUGUCCUCAUUGAGCAAAUUAACCCAUCUCCAGAUGCCUACUAUCAAACACUCAGAAGUGGUGGGGCCUGGGAGAACGGAGGCAAGAAAUGAGGCGGACUAAAGUCUCAUGCAAUCGCCAACUUUAUUCAGAACAUCAGACAAUCUGCACUUUAAGGAUGAAGAGUCACGUAAGUCACAUAAGUACCCUAAAUAUGACACCAUUCCCUUGGGUUAACAGCCAGCGACCUGGUGGCAAGUUCACUACAUUGGAGCAUUUCCUCUGUGGAAAGGACAACACUCUGUCCUUACUGGAGUAGCUUCUGAUUGUUGAUUUGCCUUUACUGCAUGUCCUACUUCUGCCUAAACCACCAUCUGUGUACUUACAGAAUGUUUCUUCCAUCAUCAUGGUAUCCCACACAGUAUCGCUUCUUACCAAGGAACUCACUUCACAGCCAGAGAAGUGCCACACGGGACCUUGCUCAUGGAAUUUUACCAUAUUCCCCAGCAUCUGAAAGCAGCUGGCUUGCUACAACAGUGGAAUAAUGAUCUGUGGAAAACACAGGUACAGCACCAUUUAGGUGGCAGUGGCCUAGCGGGCUGUGGCAGGGUCUCAAGCAGGCUGUAUAUUCUUUGAAUCAACAUCCAAUAUACAGUAUAGUUUCCCUUCUAGUCAGGACUCAUGGGAUUCAUUCCACUCACUAUCACCCCAGUGACCCAUUGUGAAACUUUUUGCUUCUUGUUUCCAUAACCUUGAGUUUGGGUGGCCUGGAAGUUUAGCCCCAGAUGGGUGAGCACUCCUGCCAGGAGACACACUAACCAUUUAAUUGAACUGGAAGCUCUGACAUCCCCCUGGUCACUUUGGUCUUCUGAUGCCCUUAAACAAACAGGCUAAAAAAGGAAUACCAGUGUUAGGAUGGGGUGAUUAAUCCAGACUACUGUGGGGAACUGGAUUGCUUCUCCACAAAGAAAGUAAGGAAGAUUAUGUCUAGAAUGAAGGCUGCCCAUCAGAGAGUCUCUUUUGGUGUUAAAAUAUCCUGAGAUGAAAGUCAUGGGAAACUGCAACAAUGCGAUCCAAGCUAGCAGACAAAAAACUCAGACCCCAAAGGAAUGAAGGGCUAGAUCACGCCUCUAAAAUCCAAGACCUGCUGACUGUGUUAUACUUUACACACACACACACACACACACACACACACACACAGAGACACACAAAACAUAGAUUUGUGGGUUUUUUCCCUCUAUUUCUUUAUCAUGUAAUGUAACAUCGAUUGGUAUAAUAGCAAUGGCUGCCAUAUUUUAAGUUAUAAGACACUUAAAGAAUGUCCCUCAAGGGACACUGACACCUGUUCAUUUGCAGAUGCACAUGGGGUACUUUGUGAAUGUUCAUGGGAGUUGCAUCAUGUUAGGUGUAAUUAUGAUCUGGAUGUUGUUUCUAUCUGUAAAUUAUGCAUUGCAUGACAAAAUGUGACAAACUGACGAGGGUGGACUUGUGACAGCUGAUUUUGGUUGUCAGCUUGACUUCAUCUGCAAUCAACUAAAACACAAGCAGCUGGGAAUGCUUCUGCAGAAAUUUCCUUGAUUGGAUAAUUUGAGGUGAGAAGAUCCACCCUAAAUCUGGGCCACACCUCUUGUUGCAGCCUACGUAGAACACAGAAGGACAUGGAAGAAGGAAGCUUUUGCUUUUUGCUUGCUUGCCCUCACUCUUACUGGCAAGUUCAUCGUCCUUGCAGUCAAGGCAUUACUCUGUUGCUGUUAGAACCUACUCGGGUCUGGGCUUCAGCACAGACUGAGCUGAGACAUCCAGUCUCAUGAACCCAUCAACCACUAGAUUCUUUCCUUUCUGUCAGGGGACAGCCAGACUAGCUAAACCAUUGCCUGUAAGCCACCCUAAUAAAUCUCUAAUAUGUACACACACACAGACACACACACACACACACACACACAGAGAAUAUAUAUAUAUAUGUAUAUAUACAUAUAUAUAUUCUUUCCAUUAGUUUUAAUCCUCUAAAUAGGAUUUUAUUAAAUGCUGUUUCUGCAUGAUUAUGAGUUUUUUGUCUUUGAUUCCAUUAAAAAAUCAUACAUGACCUCAGUUGAUUUUCAAUGAUAAAUCAACUUUGAAUUUCUGGGUACUUGGUCAUUCUGUGUAGAUUUUUAUAGUAUUAGAUUCAAUAUGCCAAGUUUUUGUGCAUGCUAGGUAUUCAGUCCAAGACCUCAACAAAGAGAAAUGUCUAGCACCAGUAGCUACUACACUCUAAGCUGUUUGCUAAUAUUUUCAAGACAGGAUCUUCUAUGUCGCUUGGUUGGUCUGGAACUUGUGAUUCUCCUGUCUCAGCCUUCCAAGUACUAGAGCUCAAGAAUGCAUCUUCAUGUCAGUCUUCGAAUACUUCUGAAGUUAUUUUUUGCAUGCAUAUUUAAACGGGAUGUUAGUCUCUAGUUUUAUUUUCAUAUUUGUCUUUUCAUUUUGGAGUCAGGCUCUUGGCUCAUAGUAUGGCAGCAUGCUUCCACAGACAUGUAAACAAGUUUUCAUAGUUAUAAUUUAUAAAUUGUAACGUUUCACUUUCUGUGAGUCAAGUGGCCACCAUCAUCAUCUGGUGCUGGAUUGAACCUAGUACGUAGUGUGCUAGAGUGCCCUGUCUGAACCAUCACAGUUUCUGCCAACUCCCAAGUUACUGCUAAGGAAUAAGCCAACAGUCUGACCGCCAUCUAAUUGGUGUGGCAUGUCUAGAGUCUCAUACUAUGUCUUGUUGCACACAAGAAGAGAGGAAGAUGAUAUGCCAGGACUUUGUACUCAGCAUCAGCUCCACUGACUAGACAGGAGAGGAGUGUGCUGCUUCCUAAUUUCUUCUGUAUCAUGGGGUGAUUAAAAGAUACUUCCUGAGUUGUCGCUGACCAUUGUUGUCACAGCUUCUUAUCCUGAGAUCACAUUCUCUAGAGAUCUGGAGGAGAUGUGUGAUAAUGUGCACAGAUAUUUAUGAACAACCGGCUAACUCUGCUGUUUAGUGUCUCCAGAUGCCAAGAGCCAGUCAGCUGUCAGAGAAUCUAUGUUAGCCUGCUGUUUUGAGACUGUCCAGUCACUGUUGUCUUCGUUAUGCUCCCAUGAUACUUGUUAUUAUGAUUGAUCUGGGUUACUGUUAAUUUGUGUGGUGUAGUGUUAUACGAAUAUAAGGCCACUGGAAGGAACUGAUUCUUUCCAAAUCUUGUAUUUCAUUAGGUUACUUCAAAAACUUUGUUUUUGAAAAUAAAAUCACCUCAGCUUGA